AAUGGGAUUGCUGGGUCAUAUAAUUACUAUAACUUUAUAAAAAACUGCUGAAGUAUUUUCCAGAGUGACUGUACCAUUUUGCAUUCCCACCAGCAAU
rnacentral:pre_miRNA from 1 species